UAUACAGAUACAUGUGCGCAUGCACGUGUACACACAUGCAUGCAUACACACAUGCAUUUGUAGAUAUAUGUGUAGGUGUGUACACACAACAUACACAUAUGCAUCCACACAUACACAUAUACAUAUGAGGUGGCACGUUCAGCUUUCAAGAGGACCAUCAGGGACUUUGUCACCUUGACAACUUUAGCCUUGCCUUCUAGUCACCUUGCCGGAACACUUGUGCCCGUGUUUUUCUAGCACUGUCAUAAGAAUACUUUUACCUAUCAAGGCAACUGGGGGUUAGGAGAGCUUUUUGCACAGGAGGCUACUUGGCUUUGUUUGAAAACUGAUGAUACAUGAGGAUUGGGGUGGUGAAUCACUCACAUGUUUCUUCAUAUGAAAAAUGAGGACUGUGGGAUUCUCUGGCUGGAUCUCAGCACCUAGAAAUGGAUCUGGGCAAUAGGAACUGCUCAGUAUUAGCUACCGCUUUGGUUGCCUUCUCCUUGCGGAAAGCUGGCCUCUCACACUGAAUUUGUAUCAUAGGCACUCAUGAGGGUCUUGACUGUAUCAAUAUCUGAUGAGAGAUUUUAGUGCAGUUCUGUUAUCGUGGCUGAUUUGCUCAUUUGGUAGCUAGCAUCCAGCUUCUUGUGAACAUUAAAAUAAAAUAAAAUAGAUUAUGGAGGAAUAGAAUACAGAUACGUAGUAAGGUAUUAUUUUCCAGACAAAAUGGAUUUGGAUAAAAGAAUCUAAUUAAGAACUUGUGCAUGAUUCUUUUAAAAUUCUUUUGAAUCCAUUUUUUUUUUUUUGGCCUGUUUUCAAGUCUCCGAUUUUUGUCACCCUUCUCACACCAGGUCAGAGAGAUAGCUAAUGGUCAGAAGGAAUCUUCCAGCAAUGACCAUAGCGCUUUCUCCUGCCUGCAGAUGCCUCUUUUUAUUCAGCCUUUAUGGGAAGUAGCAGCACCAUCCAGUUCUCAGAGAGCAAGCUCUGGAGUAACUGAGCUAACCCCAGUUACCCCAGUGGAUUUACAGAUUGAGGUUACAACCCAGCAGGGUUCUCUUCCUGGAAAGAAUAGCCUUCCCUCUAAGGUUUCAAAUAGACCCUGGGUGAGGAAGGAGCCCUAAACAGCUUGAAAAAUUGAAUGCUCUUUGGGCAAAGCAGGAAGCCGUCCUAUGGAAGAGCAUCAUUUGAGCAUAAAUCAGGUUAUCAGGACAAACAGAGUGUUCAGGAGGUCAAGAUGGUUAAGCAGAGACCCUGACCAGAAUGUCCGUGGCGGAGAGAAACAAUCUUGUUGGGAAAAGGAUGACAAUAAUUGGGGACUUAGAAUAAAGGCUAAAAAUGAUUCAAAGAGAAUGCAAAAAGAAUCAGGCACAAAUCGUUUACUAUACUCUGUUAUGCAAAUCUCACCUUACUAUGUGUUUGUAUUCUAUUCCUCCACAAUCUUUAUUUUAUUUUAAUGUUCAAAGAGACUUGUAGGUGCCAAUUAAAUGAACAAAACAGCCAGAGACAACAGAACUGCCCUAAAAAAAGUCCCGCAUCAGCUCUUGAGAGCAGGUUCCUUAAAGGUGAACAAUAUUCCACAUACAAGGACUUUUUCAGCACCAUGCAUUAGAAAUGGAAGUGAAUGUUUAUUAUUUUUUGUAUAAGUUGGUUGAUAUGGCUUUUCAGCUUCCCUCAGUAUCAUUAUCCAAAUUUUGUAGAUGACACUAAAGCUCAGAGGAGUUAAACCAUUUUCCUUAAAUCACAUAGCUUUAAAUAGGAAAACCAGAUAUGAAAAGCAGAUUUUUUUUCUAAAUUAAAAAACCAAAAACAAAAACACGUGAGCUCUUGCUUUACCCUAGCACAUAGUCUUGCCAUCUGUUUUCUCCACACCAGGUGAUUCCUGUAACAUUCAUUCACAUAACAAAUACAAAUAAAUGAGUGGAUUCAUUCAUCAGAUAUUAAUUCAGAAUCCCUUUUGUGCCUUCCAGAAAUCUGGACCAUCUCACAACCCCCAGAGAGUCUCAGCUACAAGGAACAAGUGAUAAUGCCAUCCCACUUUUAUAAACACACACACACACACAUGCAAUACACACACAAUCAUUUAAUCAUUUUUAAUUAUUUAAUUAUUUUUUAAAAAUCAGUGACACUUUAGCUGGGCAGGUCUAGAUAGGUCUUCUUUGCUGGGACGUGUCUUUUUCUGUCCUGGAAUACCCUAAACUUCACAUUUUGGCAGCGUGAGUUUUCCCUUUGUGACUUUCUCCUUCUUCCCUUUUUUCCUCCUUCUUUGCAGAGAAUGAGUAGCCACUGCACCUUGCCCUGCGCCAUCAAUGAGAAGAUCUGCUCUUAGUAGAGCCCUGCUUUCCCGCUGAAGGCCCUGAAAUCACCUGUGUUCCAGGCCACCCACUAAGGAUAAACAAAGCUUCCCUGAUAUGGGGAAUUAGCUCAAGUGGUAGAGCGCUUGCUUAGCAUGCAAGAGGUAGUGGGAUCAAUGCCCACAUUCUCCAAGCUUUAUUAUUUAGGUACCCAAACCCGAGUCAGUGUCUGAGAGCAAGACACUGCUCUCGGUGUCUUUGGUUCAAGACAUAGGAGCAGCAACAAUACAGGACUGGUGACAGCUUCCUGCUGGCAUUCAGUAUAGUGUAGAUCUACUGUGUAAUUAAUUUUCUGUUUCUUCGAGGAGCUGUGAAACCAAAGGACAUAUAAAACUGCUCUUUUCUCCCUGUUUCUGCCUGCAGCUUGGUCCUAAAUGUGAGACAAUUGUGAAAAGUGGAGGACAGAGCCACCUGGUUAAAUACAGCCCCAGCUUUCUGGUGAGAGGACUGAAACCAAGAUGUGUCAAGUAACUAGAAUGUGCCUGGACAGAUACUGUAGAAAGCAAAACCAUAAAGUUGUUCAUGAGCUUGUGGACGCACCUGCCAGCUGUGAAUAAGUGGCUCUAAUCCCGAACAACUUACCUAAAAAGAGCCUGAGAGCUGAACUGUGCAAUGGCCCACUUUCCAGUCCUCACUGACCACUGGGUUGCACACACUUUGGAGAUCUCUGAACAGCAGUGUCAAGGCUUUCAAAUAGAGUUAUCUUUGAAACGACAACACAUGAAAGUCUGGUUGGUACUUGGAGCUUAAAUACAAGGCAAUUGUGUGCCUGCAAAAACAAAAAUAGCAAUAUUAUCCUUAAGAUUUCAACAAGACACAGUGUCUCAUCACAUAAUCCAAAGAAGUCCAGGUUACAAGCCCCACAAUAUUCAGCAUUAUGAAAAAACAGGGAGAUCUUAAUUCACAUGGCAAAGAGAAUCCUCGAAUAACAAUAUUGAGAGGACACAGAUGUCAAAAUCAUCUGACACAUACAUUAAAGCAGAUAUUAUAACAAUGCUCCUAGAAUCGGGGAUAACAUUCGUGAAGUGAAUGGAAAGUUGGAAAGUCUCACCAAAUAUUUCGAAUACAUAAACACCAAUUUAAACUUAAGAAUUAAAAAAAUGUAUUAACCAAAACUCUUAGGGGAAAUAAAAAGCUUAAUUGGAGGAUCUCCAUAAUCGAAUGCAGAAGACUAAGGAAAAAGUCAAUGAACUUGAAAACAGAACACGAAUACCUACAUAAUCUGAACUAUAGAGAGAAAGGAGGAUUUUAUUGUCUCUGAACAGAGGCUCAGGCACAAAUAAAAAAUAACAAAUCCAACAUUCACAUUAUUGUAAUCUGGAAAGAAGAGGACAAAGUGGUCUUUGUGGGAUAAAACUUUGAACAAUUAAUAGCUGAAAAUGGUUCAAAUUUGUCAAAAGAUAUAAACCAGAUUUUUAAAGUUCAGUAAAUGUCAAUCAGGAUAAACCCAAAGAAACCCAUAGCAAGGCAUAUCAUAAUCAAACUGCUGAAAACUAAGAAAAUACAAAACAAUUUUGAAAGCAGCCAAAGGGAAAUGAAAGAGAAACUACCAAAUGAAUGAUUGUAGAUUUCGCAUCAGGAACCAUAGGGGCCAGAAAAAAUGUCAUAACAUUCGGAGACUACGGAAAAGAAGAGUGACUAAGAUCUCUGAAGAAGGGAAAAGCUAGAUGACUGGGCCACAAGAGGAAAAAAAGCAGCAAGACAGAGAUUUGUUGGUGCCAACUAAAUGAGCCCAACAGCCAGUGACAACAGAACUGCACUAAAAAAAGUCCCUCAUCAGCUCUUGAGAGCAGGUUCCUUAAAGGUGAACAAUAUUCCACAUACAAGGACUUUUUCAGCACCAUGCAUUAGAAAUGGAAGUGAAUGUUUAUUAUUUUUUGUAUAAGUUGGUUGAUACGGCUUUUCAGCUUCCCUCAGUAUCAUUAUCCAAAUUUUGUAGAUGACACUAAAGCUCAGAGGAGUUAAACCAUUUUCCUCAAAUCACAUAGUUUUAAAUAGGAAAACCAGAUAUGAAAAGCAGAUUUUUUUCUAAAUUAAAAAAAAAAAAAAAACUUGAGCUCUUGCUUUACCCUAGCACAUAGUCUCACCAUCUGUUUUCUCCAUGCCAGGUCAUUCAUGUAACAUUCAUUCACAUAACAAAUACAAAUAAAUGAGUGGAUUCAUUCAUCAGCUAUUAAUUCAGAAUCUCUUUUGUGUCUACCACACUAGGCUCAAGACUUCCCAGUGUCUUUGUCUCCUCUCCCUCAAAUCUCUCCACCCAAUGUCUUGACAAAUACUGUAGAUCCUUCCUGCACAGCAUCACCAGAAUGUUUUUCUUUCUUUUCAUUCACCUCUGUCAUCAUCCAUGCUAUGGUGUUUAUGGAGGAUGUAUUCUGCAGCAGGAAGUGUGAUGGGCACUGACGCUGCAGAAAGACUCCUGUUGUCCACCUCGGGAGCUGACACGAUAAAUGCGGAGAAUGAGUAGCCACUGCACCUUGCCCUGGGCCAUCAGUGAGAAGAUCUGCUCUUAGUAGAGCCCUGCUUUCCCGCUGAAGGCCCUGAAAUCCCCUGUGUUCCAGGCCACCCACUAAGGAUCAAUAAAGCUCCCCUGAUGUGGGGGAAUUAGCUCAAGUGGUAGAGCGCUUGCUUAGCAUGCAAGAGGUAGUGGGAUCGAUGCCCACAUUCUCCAAACUUUAUUAUUUAGACCCUGGGUCUCCAAACACUCAGGUCUCCAAACCCAAGUCAGAGAACAGGAUGCUGCUUUGGUUCAAGAUGUAGGAGCAGCAACAAUACAGGGCUGGUGACGGCUCCCUCCUGGCAUUCAGUAUAGUGUAGAUCUACCGUGUAAUUAAUUUUCUGCUUCUUUGAGGAGCUGUGAAACCAAGGGACAUAAACAAUUGCUCUUUUCUCCCUGUUUCUGCCUGUAGCUUGAAUGUGAGGCAACUGUGAAAAGUGCAGGGCAGAGCCACCUGGGUAAAUACAGCCCUGGCUUUCUGGUGAGAGGACUGAAACCAGGAUGUGUCAAGUAACUAGAAUGUGCCUGGACAGAUACUGUAGAAAGCAAACCCAUAAAGUUGUUCAUGAGCUUGUGGACGCACCUGCCAGCUGUGAAUAAGUGGGUCUAAUCCCAAACAACUUACCUAAAAAGAGCCUGAGGACUGAACUAAACAAUGGUCCACUUUCCAGUCCUCACUGACCACUGGUUGCACACACUCCAGAGAUCUCUCAUCCGCAGUGUCAAGGCUUUCAAAUAGAGUUAUCUGUGAAACAACAACACAUGGAAGUCUGGUUGGUACUUGGAGCUUAAAUACAAGGCAAUUGUGUGCCUGCAAAAACAAAAAGAGCAAUAUUAUCCUUAAGAUUUCAACAAGACACAGUGUCUCAUCACAUAAUCCAAAGAAGUCCAGGUUACAAGCCCCAAAAUAUUCAGCAUUAUGAAAAACCAGGGAGAUCUUAAUUCACAUGGCAAAGAGAAUCCUUGCAUAACAAUAUUGAGAGGACACAUAUGUCAAAAUCAUCUGACACAUACAUUAAAGCAGUUAUUAUAACAAUGCUCCUAGAAUUACGGGAUAGCAUUCAUGAAGUGAAUGGAAAGUUGGAAAGUCUCACCAAAUAUUUGGAAUAUGUAAACACCAAUUUAAACUUAAGAAUUAAAAAAAGUAUUAACCAAAACUAUUAGGGGAAAUAAAAAGCUUAAUUGGAUGAUCUCAAUAGCAGUAUGCAGAAGACUAAGGAAAAAGUCAAUGAACUUGAAAACGGAACAAGAAUACCUACAGAAUCUGACCUAUAGAAAGAAAGGAGGAUUUUAUUGUCCCUGAACAGAGGCUCAGGGACAAAUAAAAAAUAACAAAUCUAACAUUCACAUUAUUGUAAUCUGGAAACAUUCACAUUAUUGUAAGAGGACAAAGAGGUCUUUGUGGGAUAAAACUGUGAAGAAUUAAUGGCUGAAAAUGUAUCAAAUUUCUCAAAAGAUAUAAACCAGAUUUUUAAAGUUCAGUAAAUGUCAAGCAGGAUAAACCAAAAGAAACCCAUUGCAAGACAUAUCAUAAUCAAACUGCGGAAAAUUAAGAAAACACAAAACAAUUUUGAAAGCAGCCAAAGGGAAAUGAAAGAUAAAAUACCAAAUGAAUGAUUGUAGAUUUCUCAUCGGGAACCCAGGAGCCAGAAAAAAAUGUCAUAACAUUCAGUAAAUACCAAAGGAAAAAUACAUUAUCAACCCAGAAUGGUAUGUGGAGCAAAAGUAUCUUCCAGACAUAAAGGCAAAUAAAUGCAUUCUCAUUGGAAGGUAAAUAAAUACAUUCUCAGUCCUAGCAAAACUGCUGGAAAAGAAUUAGCAAAGGUUUGAGAUAAGAAAAGUGAUACCAGAAGGAAACUUAGAACAUCAUCAAUGAAGGAACAAAAGCAGAAAUAGAAAAUGUCUGGGUAGACAUAACAGACUAUUAUUCUUCUCUUGAGUUCCUUAAGGUAUGUUUGAUGGUUGAAAGCAAAAAUUGUAACUUUAUCUGAUGCAGUUGUCAUUGUAUCUAGAUGUACUACAUACAUAAGAUAAAAGGGUAAAUGUAAUGGGACUAACUCUUGAUGAAGUUUCUAUAUUCAACUUGAAUGGUAAAAUAUUGAUUCUUAGUAUACUGUGAAAAGUUAUAUAUGUAUAUGGUAAUCCCUAGACCACUUAACAACCAGAUUGAAAUAAACCAAAACAAGAUAGACAGAGGAACAUAGAAGAAUUAAAACAAAGGGAAAAAAGGUUAAUAAAUUAUUAAAUAGUAGAUCUAUCUAAAAACUUAUCUAUAAUAACAUUAUAUGUAAAUUAUCUAAAUGCAUUAAGUAAAAACUAGAGAUCAUCAGAAUGUGUUAAAAAUAAAUAUGCUGACUAAAGAAAGCCACCUGCAAUACACUUAUAAAUAAGAAUAAAAGUUAUAGAGCAGAUUGAAAGAAAAGAGUGGGAAAAGAUACCUCAUGCAAGCAUUAAUCAAAGACAGCUGUGGUGUAUAUAUAUAAAAUCAGACAAAGUAGAUUUGAAAGCAGAGAAACUUUUCAGGAAUAAUGAGGCCUCCUAAAUAAUUAUGAUUGUCAAUUUUUCAGGAGAAUAUUGUCCCAAAUGUAUAUGAGGACACAGAGCUUCAAAACUCAUAAACAAAAUUGGAUACGCCAAGUAAAAAUAGAAAAAUCCAGUUAUAGUUGCAGUCAUUAACACUCCUCUCUGAGUAAUUGGAAGAUUUAGUGGAACACAAAUCAACAGACAUACUGGAGAAUUGAACCAUGCCAUCCAGUAAUGGACCUAUCAAUUUCAUAAUGCAAAAUAAAAAUUCAGGUAGAAAGCAAAGACAAAAAUUAAAAGAAAAGCAAGAUCAUGUUAUAAUGAGAAAAUUAAGAGUAGUCCAGUGUAUAGAAGGGUGCUAUUAUUGAAAGAGUUUGAAAUAGUGACUUAGUUAUUUUGAAACAUUUUUGAAGACGUUAUUUAGCUGGAAAUGACAGAAAGACUGAAAAUGGUGAAUGUGGAGGUGGAUCUUCCCUUGUCCAUAUUUAUCUUGUCUUCGUUUGAGGUCUGGGGUGUCUAUACUUCCUCUGAAUUACCUGAUCUUACUACAGUGUCUGGCACAGAGCAUCUCCCCAGUGAAUAUGUACUAAAUGAGUAGAAAGUAAUUGAUAGAUUCAAAAGAGUUGUGCAAGAAUAAUGUUCAUUAUUUGACUAAUCACUGAAUGUGGUGUUUCAAGGAAGACAAUGAAUCAAAGUUGACUUGAAAGGUAAGCCCAGGGCCAGACGUGGUGGCUCAUUUCUGUAAUCCCAGCACUUUGGGAGGCCGAGAUCAGUGGAUCCCUUGACACCAGG
rnacentral:tRNA from 1 species